UAACAUGUGCGGUUUGGUAAUUUGUGCCUUG
rnacentral:piRNA from 1 species